UGGCAGGAAGAGGACUUCUUUAUAGGACCAUCAGGUAAGAUUUAAAAGCUACAGGAGCCACAAAUGGAAUGAUUGAAUUGCAAGUCUUAUACUUUGGGAUGUGAAGAAGAGGUUUAUUCAACUGGAGCCUACCUUGUGGGUCAGCUUAGGUUCUUCUCAAUCCACAAUGGUGUGAGUUGGUUCAGAAAGCAGAUAAGUAUUUCCAGGACCCUCGAUGAUGCAGAAGAUUUUUGAUGUAGAAUGACGGGGGCCACAAAAUGGUUGGAUUUUGUUCAUGAAGGUUCAGGACGGCAAAAGUCAGAGAGAGAAAGAACAGAGGGUUGCAUUGUGUGGAUGCUCUUUCGAACUGCUCACGGGACAAGUCAUAUGAUGCAAGAGCUUUUAGUUGAAUCUCCCCAUCUUUCUAGCCCAGAAAUUUCCGGAAUCAGCUUCUUUGCUUGUUAUUGAAUGCCGUGAAGUUGUUCAAAACUGAAUCAUUCACAUGAUCCACACACGCCAGGAAAGAGAGAGAACAGAAAGCCGUUCAUGCGUAAUCUGCAUCAUUGAGAUGAGCUUCUUCUCAGAGUCACAUCCAUUUCUUGACAGAGAUCAAGCUGGCUUACUGGAGGAGUUAGUCUUUGGAAUCACGCAAUGGAUAUUCCUAUUUUGUGAACAAUGAUCUGGUAGCUGAUACAACGUCUCCAUGGAUGCAACUUUUCCAUCCAUAUCCACUGUGAGUAGACCUCCCUUUGAACUCAUCAAUUUGGUCCUCCAUCUAAGAAGAAUUCCAAA